AGGUCCGAGCCCCGGAGCCCAUGGGGGCAGGACGAACAGGCAUCACGGCUGUUGUGGUAACGCGCACCAGCACAAGGUACAGGGGAGGAACCAAGAGUACCCACACUGAUCUUUUCAGUUGAUGCAGAUAGUGAAGGAUUCAGUCAAAAUUUUCUACAAACAGUUCCAGAUCUUAGAUAAAAUUCUCUCACUAGUGAAUA